UACGUAGGGAGCAAGCGUUGUCCGGAAUCAUUGGGCGUAAAGCGCGCGUAGGCGGCCCGAUAAGUCAGCUGUAAAAGUCAACGGCUCAACUGUUGAAAGCCGGUGGAUACUGUCGGGCUAGAGUACGGAAGAGGCAAGUGGAAUUCCUGGUGUAGCGGUGGAAUGCGCAGAUAUCAGGAGGAACACCCAUAGCGAAGGCAGCUUGCUGGGACGUUACUGACGCUAAGGCGCGAAAGCGUGGGGAGCGAACAGG
rnacentral:rRNA from 1 species